UAUCGCUCGACUAAAGUCCAAGUCAACCAGUGGAAGUGGCAUAAUUGAAUUGGAAAGGAAAUGGCGUCAAAAUCCCCAAACAUGGUCUAUGAAACCUGUUCUAGGAGAAGUAAAUAUACCAAUACUGUAAAGUAUUGUACAGACUGCGAGGAUGCACUGUGUUCAGAAUGUUUAGAUGUUCACGGAACAAUUAAAUCAUGUGCGUCUCAUCAUGUUAUAGAUGUCAACGUGAUUGACGGAAAUCCGUUUAUUGUCCAUUAAUCUUGCGAAGUUCAUCCGGUUAUGGUUUUAGAAUAUUUUGUUCUGACCAUGACAUAUUGUGCUGUCGGUCAUGUAUGGCUAGUGAUCAUCGAUCUUGUGACAAGUUACUGCCUAUUGAAUUAGCUGCGAAAGGCGUCAAAAGUUCGACCAUGUUUGAGGAAAUUAACACGGAUGUCCGUAUUCUUAAUACCGCUGUUAACGAGCUGGAAGAUAAAAAGAGAAAAGUCAUACUUAGUCUUAAUGAUAGUAAGGUGGUUGUUCAAGAAGAAGUUAAAAAUUUGAAGGAGCAAUUGCAGAAGCGCAUUCAAGAAAUUGAAGCAGCUCUUAUGUCUGAAAUUGACAAAAUGCGUAUAAACCUGUCAAAAGAAUCGAGUGACGACCUUGAAAAAGUAUGCGGUCGACGAAAAAAGAUACAAAUAUUUCUGAACAGUUUUUAUCUGUCACAAAACAUGGAUCAGAAGGUCAAAUUUUUAUGUUCAUUAAUAAUAUCAAAGGUCAACAGUUGGCAGCAGUUCAAAUGGAUGGGAAGCAGUGGGGAAUAGCUAUGGAAGAAAACACGAAUUCAGCUUGGAUCACACUACCAUAUAUACAGUCCGUUCAGGAAGUAGAUACCGUUUCAGUAAAGAAGAAAGAACAACUGAUAAAAUUACCAGGACAAUGUCAUGGUAUAGCUCUUAUUGACGAUCAAAUUGUUGUAGGUAGUUACGGCAAAAUAUACAUUAUAGGUAAAACCAAUGAAUUAAAGAAGACACUUGAUGUUAGAAAUGGAAAUAUGAUCUACUCAAUAUCAGUUGGAAACAAACAACAACUUUACUAUGCUCAAUUAGUUGAAUUGGAAUCCGUAGGAAUAGAUGAAACAGUUACCUCUAUCUCUGCUGGAAAUGUUAACAGCCUGAUUGGUGUUAAACAGGACAGAACAGGCAAUGCAUAUUUACUAGAAUACCAAACAGCAAAUUUUAAACUAUUUUCAUGUGAAGAUAAAUCUUUUAAAACUUUUUUAACAAAAAAUGAUGGACUAAGUAUGCCAUAUGGCUUUGCUUUCAGUAAAGAUUUUUCUAAGUUAUUUAUUUCAAAUUAUUAUACCCGUGAAAUAUUAGUUUUUUUGUGCACAUGAAAAUAAAGAAUUUUGGUUGAUAUGUAAAUAAAUAUAUGUAUCUUUGCAUCUGUUUGAUAUGCUUGAUUAAAGAAGUUAUUGAGGA